GAUGAACGCUCGCGAUAGGCUUAACACAUGCAAGUCGAGGGGCAGCAUGGUCUUAGCUUGCUAAGGCUGAUGGCGACCGGCGCACGGGUGCGUAACGCGUAUGCAACUUGCCUCACAGAGGGGGAUAACCCGUCGAAAGACGGACUAAUACCGCGUACACUCUAUGUUGGGCAUCCAAUGUAGAGGAAAUGAAAUUCGCUGUGAGAUAGGCAUGCGUCCCAUUAGCUAGUUGGUGAGGUAACGGCUCACCAAGGCGACGAUGGGUAGGGGAACUGAGAGGUUGAACCCCCACACUGGUACUGAGACACGGACCAGACUCCUACGGGAGGCAGCAGUGAGGAAUAUUGGUCAAUGGGCGAGAGCCUGAACCAGCCAAGUCGCGUGAAGGAUGACUGUCUUAUGGAUUGUAAACUUCUUUUAGACGGGAAUAACAAGAGUCACGUGUGGCUCCCUGCAUGUACCGUAUGAAUAAGCAUCGGCUAACUCCGUG
rnacentral:rRNA from 1 species